rnacentral:rRNA from 1 species
UACGAAGGGGGCUAGCGUUGCUCGGAAUCACUGGGCGUAAAGGGCGCGUAGGCGGCCAUUCAAGUCAGAGGUGAAAGCCCAAGGCUCAACCUUGGAAUUGCCUUUGAUACUGUUUGGCUUGAGACCGGAAGAGGUUAGUGGAACUGCGAGUGUAGAGGUGAAAUUCGUAGAUAUUCGCAAGAACACCGGUGGCGAAGGCGGCUCACUGGCCCAUUACUGACGCUGAGGCACGAAAGCGUGGGGAGCAAACAGGG